CGGGGUGAGUAAUGCGUGGGUAACCUGCCUUGUACAGGGGGAUAACAGUUGGAAACGGCUGCUAAUACCGCAUAAGCGCACAGCAUCGCAUGAUGCAGUGUGAAAAACUCCGGUGGUAUAAGAUGGACCCGCGUUGGAUUAGCUAGUUGGUGAGGUAACGGCCCACCAAGGCGACGAUCCAUAGCCGACCUGAGAGGGUGACCGGCCACAUUGGGACUGAGACACGGCCCAA
rnacentral:rRNA from 1 species